UUCUUAUCCAGAGAGGUGGAGGGACUGGCCCGAUGAAACCUCGGCAGCGGGCUUUCGCAUGAAAGCACUGUGCCAAUUCCAGCAAGUCGUCUGGACGGCUUGGAAGAUAAGAA
rnacentral:ncRNA from 2 species